UGGGGAAUUUUGGACAAUGGGCGAAAGCCUGAUCCAGCAAUGCCGCGUGUAGGAUGAAGGCCCUCGGGUUGUAAACUACUUUUGUACGGAACGAAAAGACUCUUUCUAAUAAAGAGGGUCCAUGACGGUACCGUAAGAAUAAGCACCGGCUAACUACGUGCCAGCAGCCGCGGUAACACGUAGGGUGCGCGCUUUAAUCGGAAUUACUGGGCGUAAAGCGUGCGCAGGCGGUUAUAUAAGACAGAUGUGAAAUCCCCGGGCUCAACCUGGGACCUGCAUUUGAGACUGUAUAGCUAGAGUACGGUAGAGGGGGAUGGAAUUCCGCGUGUAGCAGUGAAAUGCGUAGAUAUGCGGAGGAACACCGAUGGCGAAGGCAAUCCCCUGGACCUGUACUGACGCUCAUGCACGAAAGAGUGGGGAGCAAACA
rnacentral:rRNA from 1 species